rnacentral:rRNA from 1 species
GCUUAACCGAAGAAGUGCAUCGGAAACUGGGGAACUUGAGUGCAGAAGAGGACAGUGGAACUCCAUGUGUAGCGGUGGAAUGCGUAGAUAUAUGGAAGAACACCAGUGGCGAAGGCGGCUGUCUAGUCUGCAACUGACGCUGAGGCUCGAAAGCAUGGGUAGCGAACAGGAUUAGAUACCCUGGUAGUCCAUGCCGUAAACGAUGAGUGCUAGGUGUUGGAGGGUUUCCGCCCUUCAGUGCCGCAGCUAACGCAUUAAGCACUCCGCCUGGGGAGUACGACCGCAAGAUUGAAACUCAAAGGAAUUGACGGGGGCCCGCACAAGCGGUGGAGCAUGUGGUUUAAUUCGAAGCUACGCGAAGAACCUUACCAGGUCUUGACAUCUUCUGCCAAUCUUAGAGAUAAGACGUUCCCUUCGGGGACAGAAUGACAGGUGGUGCAUGGUUGUCGUCAGCUCGUGUCGUGAGAUGUUGGGUUAAGUCCCGCAACGAGCGCAACCCUUAUUAUCAGUUGCCAGCAUUCAGUUGGGCACUCUGGUGAGACUGCCGGUGACAAACCGGAGGAAGGUGGGGAUGACGUCAAAUCAUCAUGCCCCUUAUGACCUGGGCUACACACGUGCUACAAUGGACGGUACAACG